AAAGAACUUUGAUCUAAACUUUUAUCUUUAACCAACUCUUACAGACAUGCAGCUCAUAAAACAGGAGCAGAAAAAUUUCAUCCCUUUGGGUUACGAUCAGAAUUCCUUCUAAACUAAUAAUAUCUGCAAAUUGAUAGCUAUAACUAUCAAAAUUCCUGCACUUUCCUACUUAAAUGCCCCAAUAUCUCAUAAAUUUCCUCAUUUUGCUCAUGUGAUCUGUCUCCUGAUACAAAACAAUAACUCUUCCCCUUUUCCUCAAUAUAGCUCCAACCUGGUGUCUUCCUCAGCUCCUUCUCAUGCAUAAUUUUUCUAACUUCUUCAACUACAUCCCACUUUCCAACACAAGCUUGUAUAUUACUCAGCACUGUAUGAUAUCCAACAUUAUCAGGUUCCACUUCCAAAAGCCUUUGUGCUGCAAAUUCCCCAAUUUUCCUGUCUCCAUGAACUCUACAGGAAGCAAGAAGAGCUCCCCAUAUUCUACUAUCGGCAACAACCACCAUUCUUACAAUCAUAGCUAAUGCCUCUUUGAGCUUUCCAGAUCGACCUAAGAGGUCCACCAUGCAAGUGUAAUGGUCUAAAUCAGGUUCAAUGCCAAGUAUGCAUUUCAUAGAAAAGAACAGAUCACAGCCUUCUCUGAUCAGACCGGAGUGGCCACAUGCAGAUAACAAGCCUAAGAAGGUCACUCUGUUCGGUAUUAUUCUUUCCACCAUCAUCUGAGAGAAAAGUUGUAGGGCUUCAAUAGCCAGCCCGUGGAUUCCAUAACCUUCAAUCAUUGAUGUCCAUGUUACCUUAUCUUUUGCGGACAUUCUGUCAAAACAAACUCUUGCUAAAGAAAUGCUUCCACAUCUUAUAUACAUGUUGAGGACAGAGGUUCCCAAUUGUAUAUUUUCUUCCUCAGGUGUGUAAAACAAGCUCCUGAUGAGGUAGCCAUGGAUUUCUUUACCCAAUUGUAAUGCACCCAGAUGACUGCAUGCAUCAACAAGGCUUCCUAAAAUCUCAGCAGGGAGUUGAACACCUGCAGAUUUCAUUUGCCGGAACAAAUUAAUGGCAUCAUCAAAAUAUCCAUUUUGAAUGUACCCUGACAUCAUCGCAUUCCAAGUAAUGCUGCUUCUACAAGGGAUUGAUUCAAACAACUGAACUGAAUUUCUCAAUUUACCACACUUCGCAUAAAAGUCCAUGAGUGAAGCGAGCAAAAUGACAUCACAUAACCCAGAUUUUAUGGAAAAUGAGUGGAGCUUUUCACCUUCCACCAGAUUCCCAAUCUUUGCAAACCCUGAUAUAAGUAAAGUUAAAGUCUCCCUGCUAAGUGCUACUUCACUGUACAUUUUAUUACACCUCUCAGCCAGUUGUUCAACAUCUCCUCUCAAAGAAUAGAAGCUAAUCAAAGUAUUCCAAGAAAUAACAUCUCUCUUAUCAAUUUCAAUGAAAAAAGUUUCGACUUCUUUGACACAACCCAAUUUACUGUACAUUCUCAAAAUUGAAUUUUGCACAGACCCAUCAACUAAUAGCCCAUUCUUGAUGAUAUAACAGUGAAGUUGCCUCCCCUCAAUCAAAACAUCAAAUGCAUAACACCCCUGCAACAUAACAAUUAAAGUCACAGAAUUUGGUUCCAGUUCCAGCCUCAUUUUAUUGAACAAUUCAAAAGCAGCAGAAACAUUUCCUUCAAAAACAUCCCCAGAAAUCAUGGAUGUCCAAGAAACCAAAUCCCUAUGCAGCAUCUCAUCAAACACUUUUCGAGCAUACCAGACGCGUCCAUAUUUCGCAUAGACCUCAAUCAUUGUAUUACAAAAAUAAAGAUCGAAUCCAAAACCCAAUUUUAUUGAAGCAGAAUGAACCAUUUGUCCCAACACUACCCUGCUCUUAAGAGACAAAACAGCUCUGUUUAUUAUAGGAAGCGUGAAAGUGUCGUGUUCAACACCCAAUUCUCUCAUCUUCUUAUACAAGAGCAAAGCCUCAUUAGAAAGGCCAAAAUUAACGUGGGAUUUCAUUAUCAAAUUCCAAGUUAGAGUACUAGGCUCAAGUACGGAAUUGAACACAGAAAUGGCACUUUCAAGGUCAUUAAAGUUCGAGUAUAAAGACAUGAGCUUUGAAGCAGAGAAGACAGGAUCAACGAAACCAGCGGAGACUAUAACAGAAGCAUGGAUUUGUUUGAGAGUUUUGAGAUCUUUACAGGAAUGCAGAAGCCAAGACGAAGAAGAAGAAGAAGAAAAUAGCCGAUGGGUUUCUAUUUUUAGGUGAUGGGGGUGAAGUAGAAGAGGAAAUUCAGAGAUGAGAGGAGACCAAGCGAAACGGAAAACGCCAUGUAAAUGAGAAGGAAUAGUGGAGCUUGAUAGGAAAAUAUCUGGUAAUUGCAAAGCUUUCUGAAUAAUAAUGGCCUAGAAAAACGAUGAGACUUUUGCGGUCGUUUUAAGCCAAAAUGCGAGUCUGAACAGAAUUAUAGAAGCCAAGAGUUUCAAA
rnacentral:misc_RNA from 1 species